GUUGUUCUGAGCACGGAUAGGAGAGAUUUGUGUAAUGAGGAAGUUCAAGGAGAGAAAGAGGACCUGAAAGUAUAGGAGAGAGAAAGACUUCAUGAUGGAGAAGAAAAGAGAGAAACAGAGUCUCAUGGAUAGAGUUGGCUUGGGGAGGAAGAAAGCCAGCUUAAGAGGUGAUCCUAAAGCAGACGGUUCAUGAAAACUGAGUGAUGACACAAGACUACCUUUAUAAGGUACUACAGAGGAGGGCCAGCCGCAGAGAAAGGGAGUGCCAAUCAGUGAGUAAUGAAGACUAGAGAUGGAUAUACAGUGGUCUGCUGAAGCCAGCUCAUACCACUUGCAAGAGCCAAAUGUUAAAAUUAAAGGAAUUUUGUG
rnacentral:lncRNA from 13 species